rnacentral:rRNA from 1 species
CCUACGGGAGGCAGCAGUGAGGAAUAUUGGUCAAUGGCCGGAAGGCUGAACCAGCCAUGCCGCGUGAAGGUCAGUGCCCUAUGGGCGUUAAACUUCUUUUGUGCGGGAGCAAUAAUGGUCACGUGUGGCCAGACGAGAGUACCGUACGAAUAAGCAUCGGCUAACUCCGUGCCAGCAGCCGCGGUAAUACGGGGGAUGCAAGCGUUAUCCGGAUUUAUUGGGGUUAAAGGGUGCGUAGGCUGUGAGGUAAGUCAGCGGUGAAAUGCCCCCGCUCAACGGGGUGAGGUGCCAUUGAUACUGGCUUGCUGGAAUGCGGAUGCCGGGGGAGGAAUGUGUGGUGUAGCGGUGUAAUGCAUAGAUAUCACACAGAACACCGAUUGCGAAGGCAUCUCACGAAUCCGCGAUUGACGCUGAUGCACGAAAGCGUGGGUAUCAAACAGGAUUAGAUACCCUGGUAGUC